ACCACUCAAGCAAGGUAAUGUAAUACUGUAGUAGGUGUUACCGUAUAAGAGGAAGAUUAUCAGAAUGACCGUUGUACCCUCUUCUUCUACAAACUUCACUGGACUUUUGAUUCUUGUAAUUUGUAAAUAAGACAAAACACAGGGGGUUCUUUAUAAAGGAUAACGCCGGAUAGAAGCUUGACUUCGGCACGGCAGUGAGAAUCUGAACGCCAGACGGAAGCAAACGUUGUUCUUUUUUUUUUAUUGAAAACAGGAAAAUCAUUCUCGCGAAGUUGUUUUUCUUCGAAGUCUUCCUACGAAAGCAAUUCCAUCUUCUUCUGUAAUUAUUUAUAAUUUCUUUGAAAUUAUUUAUAAUUUGUCCAGUUUUUGAUCUUCAUCUAAUCUGAAAAAUAAUGGCGGAGAUUAGUCAGAGAGAAAGAAAGAGAGAAGGGCUAAGAAGAAGCUAAGAUGUCAAAAUAUCUUUAUACGAUUGAGUGUGGAAUGACUGGAAUCCUGAUCAAUCUAUCACGGCGGAGAUUAGAUAGUCAGAAAGCGCGUUUUAAGUCUGAACGCGGUGUAAGAAAUUGAAGUGUCAGCCAAUGAUUCGAGCUUUCAUUCGUGGAAGAGAAAGAAGGUGUUUCGGAUAAAUCGAAAGUGAAAAAUUGGUAUUUAUUUGAAGAUCUGAACUGUUAAUUUAAUCGUUUUUUUUUUGUGAUUUUUUUUUCUGAGACAGAUAGAGGUUGGACUUUGGAGAUUUGAUUGAUUCAGAGAACUGGAAUAAUUUAUUUCGAGGGUGUUUUGGUUGUUUUCUUCUUGAUCCGUUAGGAUUUAUUAAGGGAAUUGACAGUUGGAGAUUGGGGUUCGCUGGAGCUUUUGUCGAUUGAGAGAUUUGGAAGGUUUUGCAUUUCUGUGCAUGAAUGAGGUGAAAUCAAUUGAGACCUGUGAAAGAACAAGGAAGUUAAAGUUGGAUAGGUUCCGAAAUAGAGAGGUGGUUAGAAGGUGAGCAUGUGAGUGACAGAGUAAUGGGUGAUGCAAUACGCGAUCGGCAAGGGGCCGUUGAGAAUUCUUCGUCGAAGCCAACUGAUCCGGCUUCUUCUCAGACUGCAAUUGUGAUAGCAGCUGCAGAGGGUGAAAGUGUUAGUGGUGAAGGUGAGUAUUCGAAAACUUCGUUGGGGCAAACUGAUCCGGCUCCUUCCCAGACGGUAAUUGUGAUAGCACCUGCAGAGGGUGAAAGUGUUAGAGGAGAAAGCGGAUAUUCGAAAACUAAGGCCAAUGUGCUAGAGACAAGUAAGGUGUCUACAGAAGAACGGAGAACAAAAGCUCCUGAGGCGGAGAAGCAUGCGUGUGUUGUCGAUAUUAAAUGCGGGGAUGGAGAGCUGAGUAGCGAAAAUUGGGAGGGAGAGAAAGUUUGCAGGAUCUGUCACUUAAGUUCAGGCUUUGAUCACCCGGCCGAGGUUUCGGAUCUUAUCACGCUUGGUUGCGGUUGCAAAAGCGAACUUGGCAUUGCACAUCGUCACUGUGCGGAGGCCUGGUUUAAGUUAAGAGGCAACAGGGCAAUCAUCAAGGAUGAAAACCAGUAUCUUGAAUGGGAGGAAGUCCCUUGAUCUCUGGCAAACAUCUUGAUUAGGAGAUCAUAAAAUUUCUCAUUUUAUUGUGAGCUUGUCAACAUUUAUCAUCUUAUUCUGUACACAAAACCCGGUGCCCUUUUUCCUUAAAAACAAUUUUGCAAAUUUUAGAACUGCUAUCACCGUCUGUACAAAUUUUGAAAAGGUUCUUAGUCAUGCAGGUAAAAUGUAAAAUGCCAGAUUCUUGAAAGUAAGCAGAUAAUUACUUCUUUUACAGCCAAUAUCCACUUAUUUUGCAGAAUUACAGUCCUCAGCCCUUGUUUCUCCACUAUUUCUCUGUGUUAAAGGCAAAUUAGACCAGUUUCCCAUAACAUAGUGCUGCAUUAACUGCAUUCACUCAAUUACCAUAUAUAAGGGCCAUUUAUCUUCACUUAUAUUCAACAUGUAAUUGUAUACUUAAAGAUUUAAUGAAGAGCUUAAUAUUUGAAAGUUCAAGUUUCAAGGUAUAAUGUAGCCUAAAUUGAUUGUGGCUGGKGGUUUUCAUGUGCACAAAUUUUGUAGUUGAUGCUUGAUUGUAAAAACUAUUCUAGUUUGUUGUCAUUUAGUGCUAGAUUUUAUUCCAUUGGAGUGUUAGCUUUAUUACGUGUUAAUUUAUAACUACCAAUAUGGAAAAUAGUGGGUGGGGUUAGUUGUAGUUGUGUAGAUGUUGAUACCUUAUCCUUAUUUCAUUGACAGGGGGACAAGGUUCCAUUCUGUACAUUGUUGUGCUGUUCUUUCUUGUAUUGUGCAAGCAGAGCAGCAUCAGUUGAGUUGUUGAAUUGCACUGUUUUGUUAAUCCCAAUUUAUGUGUAUUUUUCCCAUUUAUUUGGGUAUGUUGGUUUAUAUAGGAAAUGUGGAAUUAACAAACACAGGAACUAGAAACCAUUUGUCAAAUUACAAGUAGAGAAAAAACAGAAAGGAAGUGUAAAACAGAGCAACUCAAAGUACAUACAGAGGUUUACGUGGUUUGGCUUAAAUCCUAUGUCCAUGGGCGUCAGAGGAGAACAAAUCAACCAAAGAAUGGUAGAGAUUUCAGUCACAGCAUUCACAGCCUUUCUCAAACCCUUGCUCCCAAUGCACCUGAAGCUCCCUUUCUCUCAGUGUCUCACGCACUCCUGCACUUACUCUUUUUUUGGCACUCAAGAUACAACGUUACCAUGCAAGAUACAAAAUAGUAUUUAUAUGAGAAACCCAGAAACAGGUCGGCCCCAUAAAGCGGAGAAUGUAUGUGACAGGUAUUGUGAGUACUCCAAAAUCCCUGGUGUAAAUCCAGUGUGCUACAGUUCCAGGCUAACUGCGAGUCUGGAUAACCAGUGUACCCAGAUGACGCUUGCGUCCCACCUAACUGCGAUUCUAGGAUAACCUGCAAUUCUGGAUGUGCUGCAAGUCCAGGAUAUGCUGCGAUUCCCAUAUGUCUGUGGGGCUGCUUUUAAGGAAUGCAUUACCAAAAGAUAUCAAGUAAAACUCUAGUGUGGAACAUUUCGUGGGAAGGUGGGAUGAGAAAGGGAAAUGGAGAUGUCAGUUGAGCACACUUGAGAACAGUUAAGCAUAUUUUAGCCCUACACUAACAGUUUCAAGGCACGAAGAAGUCAUUUGUGAAAUAAAGCAUAUCUGCCUAAAUAUUUGGGGAAUUGAUUUGACAUUGUUAUUUGUAUGUAUAGCAAUUUUGAAAAGGCUAGCUAUACAAAAAGGAAAUGAAAAAAAGGGUUUCAGGUUCUAUAGUAAUCUUAAAGAAUUUUUUUAUUUAAUUAUUUAUUGAUUUUGGACCUUUUUUAAAUGUUAUUGAGGUUUCUUCUUUACAGGUUAGCCACUCUUUUCCUGACUCCCAGAGAUUUCCCUUACUAUCAUCAUCUUGUAAACUAAGCCCUAUGAAUGGGGAAAACAGGAUGUGGAAACCUUGUGGGUCUGUAAUGUUGGGAAAGAUUUUGGCUGUUUGAAAAAAAAAAAACAAAAAAGAGUUUGGGCUGUUUUUGAGUUUCUUGUGCAUGACAAUUACCAUGGAAAUGGGGUAAAAGAGUUGCAACCAAAAUUCUUUUGGCCAAAAAGAUAAGCAAGGGACUUAGUGGGAUAACAUAUCAUGUAGGGGAAGCUCCCAAAUAGCCUGGGUUGUUUAACAACCAAAAAUUCCCCAUAAUAUUGAUUUAGGUUUGAACUCACAUCAAUUUUUCCUGGGCACUCUUCUUAGUUUACCAGAAGAUCAGAAACAAAUCUUCUGGUUAUAUAUGAAGGCUUUAAUCUUAGUGAAAAUGGAGCACUCUGGUAUCUCAUUAUUUUUUGACCUGAGGACCACCAUAGUGAAAAAUUAGAGAGGUAUCUCUGUUUUUCUUUAUUAUUUAACAUGUAGAUCAUGUCUACAUAUAUUGGAUUAUUUGGUUGAAGAAAUAAUUAUAUUUUUUUGUUGUAAUUUUGUAGUUUCGUUUCUAUACUUCAUUUGUGGUUAUCAUGUUACUAACACUGGAUACCUCAACAAGAGUAUCAAUUACUGGUGAUCCAGCUUAUUCAGUAAAGGCCAGCUACUUGGGUUUCUAUGGGGUCAUUACUUAUGGAAAUUACCUUUUUGCACACUAUGAGAAACUUGUUUAUUAAGAUGAAUUGGUGCACAAACAUUUGGAACAAUCUAAUAGAACAGAUGAAGACAGGUACCUGAUCAUGCCAAUGAUCAAAGAAAUAGAUGUGCUAUACCAGCCAGUAUGAUUGAUGGAUGUAUUAUGGAUGCCUCACUUCUUGGCAUGAGAGUUAAAUGUAGAAGGGGCAACUGGCAAUGAAAUGUAUUUCACUCCUCUAGUAUGAAGGAUUUCCAUUCUGAUGGUGUUGAUCUGUUGCGGUCAGCAUACAGAAUCAUAGGUUUGAAGCAAGGAAAGAACAUUUUCAAUGUUGAAAUCUGGAUCCUGGAGGAUGUUUUAGCACAUCCAUGAUAGGUAGAAAAUUGUAGGUUGGAAAAUUUUCUGAUUGAAUAUGAAGAUCUGUGAUGCAAUCUUAUGUUUUCCUGAAUAUGCAAUACAAACGUAAGUUUCUUGAUGAGCAUGGUUAUUUUUUGGGUACUGGUAUACCUUUGACAAUGUUGAAAUCUGGAUAGUGGAGAUUGUUUUAGCACAUUUAUGUUGGGUUAGAUGAAAUGUAGACCAGAGUGGAUAUUCUGAUUGAACAUGAACAUCAGUGAUGCAAUCUUUUACUUGCCUGAAUAGGCAAAAUAAAUAUAACUAGUUUCUCAAUAAGCAUGUUUGUUUUGGGUUUAUAAAACUGGUAAACUUUUGACAAAGUAGAUCAUGGGUUAGGGAUUUAAAUAUUUUAUUCCGUUAAGAUCACCAUAGUGAAAUACUCUGCAUGAAAUUCUGCUCAACUACAACUACCUUUUGUGGGAGAGCAUGUUUAAUCCUGUUUCCCACUUUUUUCUGUCUCUUCUUUUCGGUUUCUGUAUCUGUUUGACGUAAACCUUUUUGGAGAUGGAGGAGGUUUUGGAUCCUUUCUUGGCAGAAUAGAAAGAUUUCUCCUCUUUUGUCAACCACUAGAAAAAAGGUUCGAGGCAAAUAAUAAUGUCAUUCUAGCAAGACACUGAAUACGCAUAUCUAGACACAAAACCUAGUCCCAAGCCCAGAAAUUUGCAGACCAGGCCAGACCAGGCAAGAAUGGAAAGAUUGCUCCUCUCUUGCCAAGCACUAGAAAAAAGGUUUGAGGCAAAGAAUAAUGUCAUUCUGGCAAGACACUGAAUACACAUAUCUAGACACCAAGCCUAGUCCCAAGCCCGGGAAUUUGCAGGCUAGGCCAGACCAGUCCAGGUUAGAACUAAUCACUCCUACUUCAAACUUAGCUAUAGUAGAGGUUCAAUUAGUAACCCUUACUGUCAUUAAAUCUAAGUGAUGUUUACCUCUGGCUCUUAUUGUUGAUAUUUCUUUCAUUCCACACACUCCAAAGUGUAACUGUCUUCGUGCACCUCCACAUCAUUUUGGUUCAAUGGUACUUUAUGAUUUGAUUGAUGAGCUAGCUCUUGUGUUGUAACAUAUAUGUAUAUAUUUUUUUUAUAUUGAUCCUAAAAUUCUGUGAAGCAAUUACUUAUCAAAAAGAAAUUCUGUGAAGCAACUGAAAGAGCAUAUUAUUUAUAUUUCUUAAAGGAACUGAUGGUCAAAACAGAAAGCUGAAGUUGCAGCCAAUUACUCUGUCUUGUAACACAAGUUGUUAGUAUUUGAUAAUUAGACAAGUAUGGUAUUUUGGUAAUUGAAUAUAAUUCAAACUAGCCAUUGACCACAAUGUUGCACGGGCAUGGACACUGGAAUCAGAACCUAACAUGUGUCUGGGAGUCUGACUUGGCAAGGUAAAACAAGGACUUUGUGAACACGUCUAUAGAAAGUAUAAACCAAGAUUUUUUUUUGAACUAUGGCAUUUCAUAUCUAUGGGAAAAGGUUUAGAAGUUUAUGUUUGUUAACAACAUUCUAUUGGGAAAGAUGGCAUUUAUUGCAUAUAUUAGCUAGUCAUUUAUAUCAAAUAAGCAAGGAGAUAAAGGAAAAUGUUAUGUAGAAGUAUCCGUCAAGAAUUCUUAUAGUGUCAAAUCUGAUGUGUCCCUGUCAGAGACACUUCAUCUGUUUGCAGAGUCCAUGCAUCAUUGUUAGUCCAUUACUAGAAGUAUUUCAGUUAUAACCACCAAGUGUAACAUGACCUAUAUGAUAUUUUAAUUAAUUGAAACAAUAUAUUUCCUUUAUUACAUUAAAUUUCAGUCACUACUGAACUUACAAGAAAUCUAUUAUGCUCUGGUUACUGAUAUGACUCUACAAUUUCAGUCAACAUCUCCUAUAUGUCUAAAAUUAUUUGAAUAUGAAAAUGUAGUUUCAAAUAGGUUACUCUUGGCAAUAUUUCUAUGAUAUUCUAUGUCAUUACACCAUGAGUGCUAUUGAUUGAAGGCUUCCAA